AAGAAGAAGAAGAUAGGGUGUAUAAUUUUGGAUUGAAGGACUAAAUUAAAAAUAAAAAAAAUUAAUUACACAAAAUAAUCAAAAGAAAAAACCACCAAAAGAAUGAGGACCAAAUCUAAAAAAAAUUAAAAUUAAAAUUAAAUGAAAUUGAAAAUUUACUAAAGAGGUAAGAGAAAAAAGAAAAAAAAUUAGGACCAAAUUUGAAAAAUAAAAAAAUGAAAAAUCUAGAUUGAAGGUUGUAAUUGAAAAAAAUAAAAAACUUAUAAAAGAACUAAGGACAAAAGUAAAACAAUCAAAAGAAUGAGGACUGAUACCCAAAUAAAC
rnacentral:lncRNA from 1 species